UCGCCAGGUGCGUACGGUUCAGGAUGUGGCUCUUCAUGUCAACCUUGUAGAAAACGCUUCGUCACAGGCGAUGGAAGGAUAUCUUCGUGGUGGUUGUCCUCCGUUUGGUGGCCGAGGGAGAGGCUUUCGAUCCCUCAUACAGUGUCAGAUCUGCGGAAGGUUUGGGCAUUUAGCCCAACGCUACUUUUACCUCUAUAAUAGUGAGUAUGAUGGCUCACAGUCGAUGGCUCGAGCGUCGCAUCCAGGAGAUCGGCCUGCUCCUAAUUUUUCCUUUUCGUUGCUGGCCUCUGGUCUUCCUAAUGGCCCUCUUUCGGCUGUGCCACAAGGUGUUUUUUCG
rnacentral:lncRNA from 1 species